rnacentral:rRNA from 1 species
CAGCACAGGUAGCAAUACUGGGUGGCGACCGGCAAACGGGUGCGGAACACGUACGCAACCUUCCCAGAACAGGUGAAUAGCCCUCCGAAAGGAGGAUUAAUACACCGUAAGAUAUAGAGAUGGCAUCAUUUUUAUAUAAUAGGCAGCAAUGUCGGUUUUGGAUGGGCGUGCGGCUGAUUAGGUAGUUGGCGGGGUAACGGCCCACCAAGCCUCCGAUCAGUAACUGGUGUGAGAGCACGACCAGUCACACGGGCACUGAGACACGGGCCCGACUCCUACGGGAGGCAGCAGUAAGGAAUAUUGGUCAAUGGACGCAAGUCUGAACCAGCCAUGCCGCGUGAAGGAUGAAGGCCCUCUGGGUUGUAAACUUCUUUUAUCUGGGACGAAAAAAGGGGAUUCUCCCUCACUUGACGGUACCAGAGGAAUAAGCACCGGCUAACUCCGUGCCAGCAGCCGCGGUAAUACGGAGGGUGCAAGCGUUAUCCGGAUUUACUGGGUUUAAAGGGUGCGUAGGUGGGCAGGUAAGUCAGUGGUGAAAUCUUCAAGCUUAACUUGGAAACUGCCAUUGAUACUAUUUGUCUUGAAUUAUCUGGAGGUAAGCGGAAUAUGUCAUGUAGCGGUGAAAUGCUUAGAUAUGACAUAGAACACCCAUUGCGAAGGCAGCUUACUACGGAUAUAUAGACACUGAGGCACGAAAGCGUGGGGAUCAAACAGGAUUAGAUACCCUGGUAGUCCACGCCCUAAACGAUGGAUACUCGACAUCAGCGAUACACAGUUGGUGUCUGAGCGAAAGCAUUAAGUAU